rnacentral:lncRNA from 1 species
UUUUAAAAUGGUGCAGGAGUUUAUUUCAUAUUUCUGAUCUCUCUUCUCUUUCGGUACUUCUUUUAGAAAUAUCAGUAUAGAAUUUAAGGAACUCUAUUAUUUGGUUAGUUAACUCCUUCAUUUAUUUUUGUCCCUUCAUACAUUUAAAUCCUAGUUGUGAUAUAGUUCUUCCUCAUAUUUCAUAAUUUUAGUCCCUUUAUUUUGAUGCUGUAUUAAAGUGCUGAUACAGUUUAGCACACAUCAUGGGUCAUGCACAUGAUACAUAACUUCACCUUAGGGUGAAUUGUAAUUCAAACAACUUGGAACUCCAUGUAUUGACAAUUGAAAAGUAAGGGCUUGAAUCUUUCAUAGGGAAAAUAAAGGCCUCUUCUCUUUCGGUACUUCUUUUAGAAAUAUCAGUAUAGAAUUUAAGGAGCUCUAUUAUUUGGUUAGUUAACUCCUCCAUUUAUUUUUGUCCCUUCAUACAUUUAAUCCUUCUUGUGAUAUAGUUCUUCCUCAUAUUUCAUAAUUUUAGUCCAUUUAUUUUGAUGCUGUAUUAAAGUGCUGACAGAGUUUAGCACACAUCAUGGGUCAUGCACAUGAUACAUAACUUCACCUUAGGGUGAAUUGNNNNNNNNNNNNNNNNNNNNAUCAGUAUAGAAUUUAGAGCUCUAUUAUUUGGUUAGUUAACUCCUCCAUUUAUUUUUGUCCCUUCAUACAUUUAAUCCUUCUUGUGAUAUAGUUCUUCCUCAUAUUUCAUAAUUUUAGUCCAUUUAUUUUGAUGCUGUAUUAAAGUGCUGACAGAGUUUAGCACACAUCAUGGGUCAUGCACAUGAUACAUAACUUCACCUUAGGGUGAAUUGUAAUUUGAACAACUUGGAACUCCAUGUAUUGACAAUUGAAAAUUAGGGGCUUGAAUCUUUUAUAGGGAAAAUAAAGGCCUAUAUGGUAAUCGAGAUAGGUUCUUAAUGAAAUUUAUAUUCACAAAGUUGAGCAAAUGUGAUAAAAUGCAUUGACAAUCCUGGAAACUGCAGUCAUUACAUAAUCCUCACAUGUGUCAUGUCUGACACUACCCACUAGAUAUAUAAUAUAAUGAAAAUAUUUUAUUACUCCUAUCGGAUCAUAGUAUCCGUUUGCUCCCUCUAGGAAAACUCUGUGGGUCUUUUUUUAAAUUUGUUUUUUGGUAUCGUACUUAUUUAUUAAGGGUGUAUGUAUAAGUAUCACUAAAAGAUGAUGGAUACUUUUGUAUCUUUAUAAAAUAAAAUUGAAAUUUUUACUAAACGACGAGGGUAUUGCACAAACAAUGUUCUAGGACACUAACGGACUAUCAUUUUUUCUUUUGUGAAAAUUUCAAAUUUACCAUAAUGAUUAAGUUAUGUAAUAAAAUAAUUUUUAGACAAAAAGCAAUCACUUUUUGUUAUCUAUGUUUUGGACCUAAGUGUCCUAAUUAUAACAAUUUUGUCCUUAUAACAUUUUUUAAAUAAAAUAUAAGUUGAGAGGUGUCUAACGGUAGGUGAACCUUAUAGCUACUCUCUCCUCUCUUCUCUUUCUUCUUUUCGCUCUUCUCUCUUUCUUUUCCUCUUCUUUUCCCUUUCUUUCUCUAGUUUCGACACUUUUUACUGUUCAUGGUACUGUUCAUGACACUAUUCACGUAUAUUAUUGACACUAUAUUCUUUGACAUGAUAUUAGAACAAGUUCUAAACUGAUUCUUUGGUCUUCCCCUUUCUUUCCCUCUUUUUAGUCAUAAAAAUCUAGUUGUGGUGUUCAGUGCUGCUAUGUGUGUGAUUUCUCUCUCGAAAUCAAGAUCUAUAGAGUGAUCAUGAUUAAAAAAAAAAUUAAGAGCCUAAUUUGCAUGUUCGAUGCUACUGUGUGUGUGAUUUCUCUCCUGAGAUCAAGAUCUACAGAGAGAUUGUGGUCUAGUUUCAAGUUGCUGCUAGCCCAUGUGAACCUUUUGAAUUGGCUUCAUCCUAUUGGAUGAUGAGAAGAUAUUUUGAAAUUUACAUGAGGGGCACACCCCUCUCUCGUUAUUCUUUAUUUAAUUUCCAAUGUUCACAAGGACACUUUUGGAAUGUUUAAUUAGCAUAUGCGAAAUUUAUUUCAAACUUGGGACAAUUUGGUAAAAUGACCUAAUUUAGGGUUUUUAAGGAGUGAUAAGGGUGUCAAGUCUCAUCCUUUGAUCUUGAUGGAUAGAUACUGAGUGGCUAGGAUUAUAGCCCUUUCAUGUAUCAUGGAUGAUGAGCAUUAAGGGUCUUUAUCAAUUCACUUAAAAUGUCACACCUGAAUUGGCCUAUUGCCUCCAUGGUCUCAUUUCUAAACCCACCGCAUAACAUAUGUUGUGAGAGAUACAGAGACUAGAGAGAGGCUUCAUGCCCACAUUUUUCUUACUGCCUUUUUCCCUCUUAUGAUAAACAAUCACAUGGCCAUUAAAGCUCUUCCCCAUGGUAGCUAAGCUACUUGGUGCUUUACACUUGAGGUAACUUCCAUAGCUCUAAUUCUUUCAUUUCUAGAUUCUUUUGUUCAUGUUUUCCUUGCUGUAAAUCUCACUUUACAGUAGCCUUUUCAUUUAUAUGUGCUUGAGAACUCAUGAUUUCUAAGCCCCUUGUGAAACUAUGCAUAUAUGCCAUGCUAUAUGCAUAAUCUAGUUUACUACUUUGCUCCUAGAUAUAAUUUUCUUCAUCUUUUUCAUUCCUGAUUUUUCUAAGAAUUCUCAAAGAGUUUUUGGCCAUAUCAGCAAGCAUUUGAUGUUCAUUUGAGUACACCAUAUCAUUGGCCCUUGAUACUAGAGAGUCUCUUAUGAAACUACUCUUGUUUUCUCAAGUUUAUUUGCUCACUUUUUUCAUCACCUAAGGUUCAUCUUUCUCAUUUUAAAGUUAUUCAAGUGCUUUUCAAGUGUGCAUAAGCUUCCCACUUCAUAAGUGAGAUCAACAUUUGUAUUUUAUUGCCAUUAGUGCUAUCAUCCAUGGGACAAAAUUAAGUCCCUAUAAGGUCCAAUUAUGUGCGUCGGGCGCAUAGGAUUCGACCAUUGGCUUCCCCACAUUACUUUGCACGUAUUUAUGUUUCUUUGAGUUUAUUAUUGUUUCAUGUCAUCAAAAGUUGAUUAUAUAAAGUUUAGAGUUGGUUUAUGCAGAAGAAAAAAGUGUAUGUGCAGUCUAAGUGCAAGUGUAUGUGCUAAGUGGUGUAGUUUGCUUCUAUAUGACUAAUGUAUUCGUUUUUAUGACUUGGGGAGUCCAUGGAGUUGUAACUCUUUCAUUUAAGAGAUAUUUGGGUCUUUAUAAGUUCAAAAUUGUUGCUAUAAUAGUAAGAUAUGUGAAAGUGUUGAUUGUAAAAAUGUUAAAGUUGAGUGCCUAGUACAAGUGUUGUAUAAAGAGCAUCCUAGAUUCUAUAUCACCUUUAGGCAGAGAGACGCUCAAGGUGGUUUGGCUAAGGGACUAUGUGACCCCUAUAUGCAGUUGGCUGGCCUGAGGGAACAAGGGUGAAAAUCCUCAUCAUUACUAUUGCACGACAUGGAUAUUAGAUAACUGCCCUGAGAAGCAACCUUUGUGGUAUUUGUGUACACAGGCGGAAGAGAUGACCCCCAUGCACCAUUGCGAUAGUGUGUGAAGGUCUAUAUGACUUUAGCUUGUCCCUUAGGGGGGAUCUCUAAUCCAUACACUACAAUCAUGCUCUCUUAAUCUAUUGGAUGUCUUUGAUAGACCAAUCAUGAACCCCUGCGAGGGGUUGUGGGCCACAAAAAUUAUUGGGUCAGUUUGAGACAAUGAAUGUGGGACACAAUUGCUACAAUAGAUGGAGUGCCUCAGUGUAUUCACAUUAUCUUUAACCCAUUGGAUUCCAUUCCCAUCAAAUGUUACUUAAAUAUGUGUUAUUUGAAUUUUAGAAUAUUAAAAUAAACUUUUAAUAUGCCCUUUAUAUUUCACUUUAUCAAAUGGAAAUUUUUCAGAUAGCUAAAAUUUGAUUUUUUCAGUUUUAUAAAUACAGAAGCAAAUUAAAAGUAGGGAAAAUAUCUCCUUAUCCCCUAUAUUUGACUUCUAUAUCUCAUGAGACCUAAGGAUUGAAAGUAUUACUUGUAAGCAAAAGGUCUUUAUCUUUUCUAUCUUACAACCCUUUGGAUCCCUUUGACCAUGAAUUUUUGACCCAAAGAAACACUAAAAUGACACCCUUUCCAAAUUUUUUCUUUUCCGUUAACAUUAAUCUCUUGAAGCACCCUCUCUUUCUCAAAUCCCGUCUCUCUCUUUCAAAACUCUAUCUCUCUCUCUCUAAAACCCAAAGUUGCAGAGAAGUUCCCAACUCUACAUCGUGUCUCUCUCUCUCUAAAAAUUAUCUAGCCCCUUUUGCAUCCCAAUAAACUCUCUAAAAAUACCCAGGGAUCUGAAGCUCUAUUUUUUCCACUCAGCCGCUCUUUGUUUUCAGCCACCAAAGCUCUCUCUUGCAUACCUUGGUGGCUGGAAAUGAAGAGCGGUUGAGCGAGAAAAUCAAUGGCUAUUUUUAGAGAGUUUGUGGUAUAUUAGGGUGCAAAAGGGGCUAGAUAAUUUUUAAAGAGAGAAAGAGAGGAGAGAUGAUACAGAGAGACGAACUUCUAUGCAACUUUGGGUAUUAGAGAGAGAGAUGGAGUUUUAAGAGAGAGAGAUGGUGAUUUGAAAGAGAGAGGGUGCUUCAAGAGAUUAACGUUAAUGGAAAAGAAAAAACUUGGAGAGGGUGUCAUUUUAGUGUUUUUUUGGGUCAAAAGUUCAUGGUCAAAGGGAUUCAGGGGGUUGUAAGAUAGAAAAGAUGGAGACCUUUUGCUUACAAAUAAUGUUUUCAAUCGUUGGGUCUCAUGAGAUAUAGAAGUCAAAAAUAGGAGAUAAGGAGAUAUUUUCUCUUAAAAAUUCUAAACGAAUUUUAAAAACCCUUUUAUGCUUUUUAAAAUUCAUUAGAGAGUAUGCGGGAGCCAUUUAAUAUACAGCCCCACCACAUAAGAGCCCAAGUUGGUGGGGUUUGGGGCCCACUUGUGUCCCAGAUGGGUGGCAGGCCCCACCUCCCCAUUUGUUUUCCCUCAAUCUAUGUAGUCUUACUUGUUGUGCAAGUCUUUUAAGAUAAUAGACUAAAUAUUAUGGAAAUAUUAGAUUGAGAAAUAGAUUGGGCUGAUUCACCGGUUCAAAAAAGGAUUUCUCUCAAUAGAUUGGAUGAUCUUUAUAAAUUUUGGAAAGUUAUUCUCAUUGAUUGAAAUGAUGUGACACAUUGACCAAUUUUCCAUAAAUGAGAUAUUUGAUGGGAAUGGGUUAAGGAAACUGAGGGAUAUGAUUCUAGCACAUUCCUUUUAAUUAUGAUGAUUGAUUUAAAGAAUGCAUGGCUAAGAUCUCGCCUCACAGGUCACCUUUGAUCUAUAGUCGAGAUUUAAUCUCCAUAAUGAUGGUAAACCCUAGACCUCAAACCCUAAUUUUGUAAUAUAAAUACCCCUUAUGGGGAUGCCUUCUAUACUCUUGGUAUUGACCUCUCUCUCUCAACCCUAGGGGUGCACUUCUCUCUCCAAAUUCUCUCUCUCUCUACAGUUAGACUUAAGGGGUGCCGUGGCUUAAGUGUGGCAAAAAAGGGUGGCACAUUCCAAGGUGGUAAGGAGCUUGUUUUGGUAAGUGCCCCGUCUCUUACAAGAAAAAUAUUAGUCAUGCCACCAUAAUAAAAGUGGGGUUUUCCUAGGCUUCCUAAAUUAUCAAACAAAGUUGAUGACCUAGAUUCUGUGCGCCAUUGGUGGAUGAGAUCUGGUGUGGGGUGUAAUAAGUUCUUGGGGGUAACCCUUGACAAGGUAAUAUGUUUUUUUAUGGUUCCAAGUUUCCUGAUUCAAUCUUCUACAU